CCUACGGGAGGCAGCAGUGAGGAAUAUUGGUCAAUGGACGAGAGUCUGAACCAGCCAAGUAGCGUGAAGGAUGACUGCCCUAUGGGUUGUAAACUUCUUUUAUAUGGGAAUAAAAUGUUCCACGUGUGGGAUUUUGUAUGUACCAUAUGAAUAAGGAUCGGCUAACUCCGUGCCAGCAGCCGCGGUAAUACGGAGGAUCCGAGCGUUAUCCGGAUUUAUUGGGUUUAAAGGGAGCGUAGGUGGAUUGUUAAGUCAGUUGUGAAAGUUUGCGGCUCAACCGUAAAAUUGCAGUUGAAACUGGCAGUCUUGAGGACAGUAGAGGUGGGCGGAAUUCGUGGUGUAGCGGUGAAAUGCUUAGAUAUCACGAAGAACUCCGAUUGCGAAGGCAGUUCACUGGACUGCAACUGACACUGAGGCUCGAAAGUGUGGGUAUCAAACAGGAUUCGAUACCCCUGUAGUC
rnacentral:rRNA from 1 species